UGCUCAUUUGGUACCUGAGAUGGGGGCU
rnacentral:piRNA from 1 species